GAGGGUAUAGCUCAGUGGUAGAGUGCAUGCUUAACAUGCAUAAGGUCCUAGGUUCAAUUCCCAGUAUUUCCA
rnacentral:tRNA from 1 species